rnacentral:lncRNA from 1 species
UAUAUAAAUGAUUAAAAAGAGAGCGCAUGUAUUACAAAGUAAAAAACCUAUGUAAUAGUCUAUAUAUAUUCAAAAUGAAACUAUAAAAAAUAGUACCCAAUGUACUCAAACAGUAAUAGCUGCUAAAACAAAAAGAAUAUUCCCAAUUCCAAAAAACAAAUGUAAAUAAAAAUUUCAGCGCUGAGUAAAUAAUCCCCUUAGA